CAGACUAUACUUUCAGGGAUCAUUUCUAUAGUUUGUUACAGGAAGGUCUUUUCUUAUAGAACCUGACUGUAUGAGGU
ensembl:snoRNA U3 Small nucleolar RNA U3